rnacentral:rRNA from 1 species
AUUGAACGCUGGCGGCAUGCCUUACACAUGCAAGUCGAACGGUAACAGGUCUUCGGAUGCCGACGAGUGGCGAACGGGUGAGUAAUACAUCGGAACGUGCCUAGUAGUGGGGGAUAACUACUCGAAAGAGUGGCUAAUACCGCAUGAGAUCUACGGAUGAAAGCAGGGGAUCGCAAGACCUUGUGCUACUAGAACGGCCGAUGGCAGAUUAGGUAGUUGGUGGGAUAAAAGCUUACCAAGCCGACGAUCUGUAGCUGGUAUGAGAGGACGAUCAGCCACACUGGGACUGAGAAACGGCCCAGACUCCUACGGGAGGCAGCAGUGGGGAAUUUUGGACAAUGGGCGAAAGCCUGAUCCAGCAAUGCCGCGUGCAGGAUGAAGGCCUUCGGGUUGUAAACUGCUUUUGUACGGAACGAAAAGCCCCGGGUUAAUACCCUGGGGUCAUGACGGUACCGUAAGAAUAAGCACCGGCUAACUACGUGCCAGCCGCCGCCGUAA